CAGAGUUAUCUAACUCCCAAACCCAUGUGAACCUUACCUAUGUUGCCUCGGCGGGGGAGCCUACCCGGUACCUACCCUGUAGUUACCCGGGAGCGAGCUACCCUGUAGCCCGCUGCUGGCUUGCCCGCCGGUGGACGAGUAAACUCUUGUUUUUUAGUGGAUUAUCUGAGCGUUUAUACUUAAUAAGUUA
rnacentral:misc_RNA from 1 species